rnacentral:rRNA from 1 species
UACAGAGGGGGCAAGCGUUGUUCGGAAUUACUGGGCGUAAAGGGCGCGUAGGCGGCCGCCUAAGUCAGACGUGAAAUCCCUCGGCUCAACCGGGGAACUGCGUCUGAUACUGGGUGGCUUGAAUCCGGGAGAGGGAUGCGGAAUUCCAGGUGUAGCGGUGAAAUGCGUAGAUAUCUGGAGGAACACCGGUGGCGAAGGCGGCAUCCUGGACCAAUAUUGACGCUGAGGAGCGAAAGCCAGGGGAGCAA